rnacentral:rRNA from 1 species
GAUGAACGCUAGCUACAGGCUUAACACAUGCAAGUCGAGGGGCAUCAGGAAGAAAGCUUGCUUUCUUUGCUGGCGACCGGCGCACGGGUGAGUAACACGUAUCCAACCUGCCCUUUACUCGGGGAUAGCCUUUCGAAAGAAAGAUUAAUACCCGAUGGCAUAAUGAUUCCGCAUGGUUUCAUUAUUAAAGGAUUCCGGUAAAGGAUGGGGAUGCGUUCCAUUAGGUUGUUGGUGAGGUAACGGCUCACCAAGCCUUCGAUGGAUAGGGGUUCUGAGAGGAAGGUCCCCCACAUUGGAACUGAGACACGGUCCAAACUCCUACGGGAGGCAGCAGUGAGGAAUAUUGGUCAAUGGGCGCUAGCCUGAACCAGCCAAGUAGCGUGAAGGAUGAAGGCUCUAUGGGUCGUAAACUUCUUUUAUAUAAGAAUAAAGUGCAGUAUGUAUACUGUUUUGUAUGUAUUAUAUGAAUAAGGAUCGGCUAACUCCGUGCCAGCAGCCGCGGUAAUACGGAGGAUCCGAGCGUUAUCCGGAUUUAUUGGGUUUAAAGGGAGCGUAGGUGGACCGGUAAGUCAGUUGUGAAAGUUUGCGGCUCAACCGUAAAAUUGCAGUUGAUACUGUCAGUCUUGAGUACAGUAGAGGUGGGCGGAAUUCGUGGUGUAGUGGUGAAAUGCUUAGAUAUCACGAAGAACUCCGAUUGCGAAGGCAGCUCACUGGACUGCAACUGACACUGAUGCUCGAAAGUGUGGGUAUCAAACAGGAUUAGAUACCCUGGUAGUCCACACAGUAAACGAUGAAUACUCGCUGUUUGCGAUAUACAGUAAGCGGCCAAGCGAAAGCAUUAAGUAUUCCACCUGGGGAGUACGCCGGCAACGGUGAAACUCAAAGGAAUUGACGGGGGCCCGCACAAGCGGAGGAACAUGUGGUUUAAUUCGAUGAUACGCGAGGAACCUUACCCGGGCUUAAAUUGCAGUGGAAUGAUGUGGAAACAUGUCAGUGAGCAAUCACCGCUGUGAAGGUGCUGCAUGGUUGUCGUCAGCUCGUGCCGUGAGGUGUCGGCUUAAGUGCCAUAACGAGCGCAACCCUUAUCUUCAGUUACUAACAGGUCAUGCUGAGGACUCUGGAGAGACUGCCGUCGUAAGAUGUGAGGAAGGUGGGGAUGACGUCAAAUCAGCACGGCCCUUACGUCCGGGGCUACACACGUGUUACAAUGGGGGGUACAGAAGGCAGCUAGCGGGUGACCGUAUGCUAAUCCCAAAAUCCUCUCUCAGUUCGGAUCGAAGUCUGCAACCCGACUUCGUGAAGCUGGAUUCGCUAGUAAUCGCGCAUCAGCCACGGCGCGGUGAAUACGUUCCCGGGCCU